CGCGUAGGCGGUUUGUUAAGUCGGAUGUGAAAGCCCCGGGCUCAACCUGGGAAUUGCACCCGAUACUGGCCGACUAGAGUACGAGAGAGGGAGGUAGAAUUCCACGUGUAGCGGUGAAAUGCGUAGAUAUGUGGAGGAAUACCGGCGGCGAAGGCGGCCUCCUGGCUCGAUACUGACGCUGAGGUGCGAAAGCGUGGGGAGCAAACA
rnacentral:rRNA from 1 species